rnacentral:rRNA from 1 species
UACGUAGGGGGCAAGCGUUGUCCGGAUUUAUUGGGCGUAAAGCGCUCGCAGGUGGUCCGUCGCGUCGUGCGUGAAAGACCCCGGCUCAACUGGGGAGGGUCGUGCGAUACGGGCGGACUGGAGGCCAGUAGGGGGAUGCGGAAUUCCGGGUGUAGUGGUGGAAUGCGUAGAGAUCCGGAGGAACACCAGCGGCGAAAGCGGCCACCUGGACUGCACCUGACGCUGAAACGCGAAAGCUAGGGGAGCGAACGGG